rnacentral:lncRNA from 1 species
GAGUUUUGAGCUUACGACCACUAGCAAAUCUAACCAUUGAUACUAUGUUAACUAUCAAUCUGAACUCGAUCUAAAACUUAAGCUACUAGGGAAAAGGCCUAAUAAUUUUGAUGCAAAGUAUGAUCUACUCAAAAUUCUGCUCCUAACCCACUGCAUGAUGGUGAUCCUAGACCUAGAACACAAUUAUGGUGAGGGAACAUAAUAUUUGGGGUAGGCACACGAGGUUGAUGUGCUCAAGGCUGCUGUCACGAAAACCCAAGUCUUGCAUGCAGAUAACUUACGUCGGACAGGGGA